rnacentral:rRNA from 1 species
CCUUUGCCGGCGACCGGCGCACGGGUGAGUAACACGUAUGCAACCUGCCCCUGUCAGGGGGACAACCCGCCGAAAGGCGGGCUAAACCCGCGUACAUGCCACCGGGGCAUCCCGGAGGCAGGAAAGGCUUCGGCCGGACAGGGAUGGGCAUGCGGCGCAUUAGGCAGUAGGCGGGGUAACGGCCCACCUAACCGACGAUGCGUAGGGGUUCUGAGAGGAAGGUCCCCCACACUGGUACUGAGACACGGACCAGACUCCUACGGAAGGCAGCAG